ensembl:lncRNA LINC02909 long intergenic non-protein coding RNA 2909
GUAGAAUGAUUUACAUUCCUUUGGGUACAUACCCAGUGGACAGAUUGCUGGCUCAAAUGGUAGCUCUAAAUUCUUUGAGGAAUCUCCACACUGCUGUCCACAGUGGCUGAACUAAUUUAUAUUCCCACCAGCAAUGUUGCUCCAAGAACCAUCUGAGAACUGGGAAGAAAGAGUGGAGACCUACAGGUCAGAUGACAUGGGUGGAGCCCAUUUCUACAGAGUGGCUUGGGCUGAGGUAAAAGAAGCUAGAGAAGAGAGCCGCUGAUGCACUGCACCUGCCUAGGCUGGAGUUAAGAUACCGAAACUGGCAACACCCAGAGACAUUUCCCUCCUAGUCAUAAAGGAAGCCAGCAGCAGAGCCAGAAAUAAUAUUCAAAUUCUGGAUCCACUAGACCAUAUUGCCCGUCUGACAAAUUAUACGCUUACAUCCUGCUUCAGUUCUAAUAAGGUACCCACAAUGCCGGGUUCUCUACCCACUGGGAGCAAACAAGGGAACGUGCAGACGCUGGACAGCAUACGAUGGAUGCCUGCAACUCCUGUACCUGCCCCCGAAUGCCACCAGAAAUAUGCCAUCUCUACUGAAACAGCUUUUCCAACCCUGAGCACGUUUAUGAACACGGAAAAGAGUGUAAAGGGGUCAAAUGCAGACUUUACAAAAAGAAACCCAAGAUGGAGAUUCCUGUUCGGGAUAUACUGCAGGUGGGGUUCAUAACAACAUAGUCCUUUACUUGCCAAGUAAUCUGAAAGCAACUAAUUAGAGAACCUGUAAGGGAUGCCAAUCCCAGUUUUCAAAAUGGCAUUUCAAGGAAAUUAAAUCUUAUCAUGUAAAUAGGUCAAGAAAUCCGUUUAAAUAACGUAUCUGCUUCUCUCUAGGUAAUCUACAAUGUUGUUAGACUAUCAAGCCAGUAGUUUUAAAUAUGUGUUGGAGCUCCAGGAUUAAUCCCUGGUUGAUCUGAGGGAGUCACUUUGUCUAACCAAAUACAAAUGAGGUGGGAGGUGUAUGGUUGAGAGGCACUAUUAGAAGAAAGGGGCCAGGUGCAGUGGCUCAUGCCUGUAAUCCCAGGACUUUGAGAGGCCCAGGCAGGUGGAUUGUUUGAUCCCAUGAGUUUGAGACCAACCUGGGCAACAUAGAGAAACCCUAUCUCUACCAAAAAUACAAAAUUAGCCAGGCAGGGUGGCGCAUGCCUAUAAACUCAGCUACUCAGGAGGCUGAGGCAGGAGAAUCACUUGAAUCCAGAAGGUGGAGGUUGCAGUGAGCCAAGCCAUUGCACACCAGUCUGGGCAAAGAGUGAAACUCUGUCUCAAAUAAAAUAAAAUAAAAUAAAAUAAAAUAGUAAAUCUGCUGACCUUCCCUCCACUAUUGUCCUGUGACCCUGCCAAAUCCCCCUCUGCGAGAAACACCCAAGAAUGAUCAAUAAAAAAUAAAAAUAAAAAAUAAAUAAA